GAUGAAGAACGCAGCGAAAUGCGAUACUUGGUGUGAAUUGCAGAAUCCCGUGAACCAUCGAGUCUUUGAACGCAAGUUGCGCCCGAAGCCAUUAGGCCGAGGGCACGCCUGCCUGGGCGUCACACGUCGUUGCCCCCCCCAUCUACUCCUUCGGGAUUGCGGGGGGCGGAUGAUGGCCUCCCGUGCGCCUCGUCGCGCGGUUGGCAUAAAUGCCAAGUCCUCGGCGACGCACGCCACGACAAUCGGUGGUUGCGAAACCUCGGUUGCCCGUCGUGUGCGGUCGUCGCGCAUCGAGGGCUCGAAAAAAUUGCCGGGCUCCGGCUCGGCGUUCAACGCGACCCCAGGUCAGGCGGGGUUACCCGCUGAAUUUAAGCAUAUCAAUAAGCGGAGGA
rnacentral:misc_RNA from 1 species